AACCGCCGAGCCACCUCCGGAGGCAGAGCCCGAGAACCCAACUCCCAAGCCCAAGAAGGCCGCUAAGGAGCCCAAGCCCAAAAAACCCGCGGCUCCUAGAUCCCGAAACCCCUCUCACCCUCCCUACGAAGAGAUGGUUAAGGACGCGAUUGUGACGUUGAAGGAGAAAAACGGUUCCAGUCAAUACGCGAUUCAGAAGUUCGUAGAAGAGAAGCAGAAGCAGCUACCUUCCAACUUCAGGAAGCUCUUGUUGUAUCAUUUGAAGAAGCUCGUUUCUUCUGGAAAGCUCGUUAAGGUCAAAGGCUCCUUCAAGCUUCCUCCGGUCAGGUCUGCAGCUCCCAAACCAGCUGCUGCUGCCCCCGCCAAGAAGAAGGCUGCAGCUGCUAAGCCCAAACCAAAGCCCAAGCCCAAAGCUAAGCCUGCUUCUAAGGCCAAGGACACCAAAACUACUAAGUCAGCAGCAGCCAAAGCACCUGCCAAGGCCAAGCCCGCUGCAAAGCCCAAGCCCAAGGCCAAGCCAGCUGCUAAACCCAAGGCGGUUGCUGCUAAGACCAAGGCAGCUCCGGCCAAGUCUAAGGCCAAGGCUAAGACGGCGCCAGCUGCAAAGCCGAAGGCAGCUGCGAAGCCUAAACCGGCUGCUAAGCCCAAGCCCAAGCCCAAAGAGAGGCCCUCCAAGGCUUCUAGAACGUCGACGAGAACUUCACCGGGGAAGAAAGCCCCUGCCGCUAAACCUGCGGCGAAGAAGGCAGCUCCCGCGAAGAAAGCCCCUUCAAAGGGUGCAAAGGCGAAGACCGUGAAAUCUCCUGCGAAGAAGGCGACGACGGCGAGAAGGGGGAGAAAGUGAAGAGGGUAGACGGCACCGGAGCCUAGUGUUGUAGGUUUAGUCAUUGGAACGGAAUUGCGGUUGUGGUCAUUGGCUUUGUCGGAUCUCUAAAUGGUUGAAUUCCCGAAGAUGAGAAAUCCUUGUACCACGUGUUUUUGGAUGCGAUAACUGGGAUCAAUGGUCGUGAUUACAUCUAAAGCUCUCGCUGAUAAUUUCUGAUAGACAAGCUUGCUCGCUUUUCAAUGCUGUUGAGUUCAAUCUUUGAGGAUGGAAAAAUCAGCUUCACAAACUGGGAUGGUGUUGGCAUCUUCAUCCCACUUCAGACAGUCGAUUUCUUCUGGAUCAACAAGCCCUGUCUUGGCUAUCUUUCUAUCCUUUUAACAGGUAUU